rnacentral:rRNA from 1 species
GAUGAACGCUAGCGGCAGGCUUAAUACAUGCAAGUCGAGGGGCAGCGCAGUGUAGCAAUACAUGGGCGGCGACCGGCAAACGGGUGCGGAACACGUACGCAACCUUCCUUCAAAUGGGGGAUAGCCCAGGGAAACUUGGAUUAAUACCCCGUAACAUUAUGAAAUGGCAUCAUUUUGUAAUUAUAGCUACGGCGUUUGAAGAUGGGCGUGCGCCUGAUUAGGUAGUUGGCGGGGUAACGGCCCACCAAGCCUUCGAUCAGUAACUGGUGUGAGAGCACGACCAGUCACACGGGCACUGAGACACGGGCCCGACUCCUACGGGAGGCAGCAGUAAGGAAUAUUGGUCAAUGGACGCAAGUCUGAACCAGCCAUGCCGCGUGGAGGAUGAAGGUCCUCUGGAUUGUAAACUUCUUUUAUUUGGGAAGAAACCCACGAUUUCUAUUGUGGUUGACGGUACCAGAUGAAUAAGCACCGGCUAACUCCGUGCCAGCAGCCGCGGUAAUACGGAGGGUGCAAGCGUUAUC